UACGUAGGGUGCGAGUGUUGUCCGGAAUUAUUGGGCGUAAAGGGCUCGUAGGCGGUCUGUCGCGUCGGGGAGUGAAAACUCAGGGCUUAACCCUGAGCCUGCUCCCGAUACGGGCAGACUAGAGGUAUGCAGGGGGAGAACGGAAUUCCUGGUGUAGCGGUGAAAUGCGCAGAUAUCAGGAGGAACACCGGUGGCGAAGGCGGUUCUCUGGGCAUUACCUGACGCUGAGGAGCGAAAGUGUGGGGAGCGAACAGGG
rnacentral:rRNA from 1 species